CCCCAAUCUUCUAAAGGUACAAAUAAGUAUAGGAUAGAAAUCCCGGGGCCUAUGCCUAUGCCUUAGUACACUACCCCGAACAAAUCAAGGUUCUCUCUCUAGCAUCGAGAAAGAACUAAACUCCCCUCAGGGGAACUUUUCCUUUAACCGUUACCCCUUUUUUUUACCCUAUACACCAAACCCUAAGCUCCCUCCUCUCCCCCUCAACCAACUCCACCCUUCCCUCCCCC